GUGCACUCGACUGUUGUGGCCUUUCGUCUGCCUCCUUCACUUGAAUGGGAGCCUCCUGGGGCAGGGGCUGCUCCUUUUGCUGCUGUUGCAUCUCCAGGCCUGCAGCCAGGCCUGCCCCGCAGUGGGUGUCAACACGCUCUGUGGAACGAGGGACGGAAUGAGGGACGUGAGUGAUCUGUGUGGAUGGAGGAGUGACUUGCAAUGGAAGCCUGCCAGCCAAGACAGCUGGGCCCCUGGGCCGUGAGAUACUUCAGACAGACACAAUUUCUCCCAGCGACAGGGGAGGAAGCCGAGGCCUUGAGAAGAAUCAUUUUUUGAGCACCAAAAGAAGAAACUGGUGGCGGGGCGCAGUGGCUCACACCUGUAAUCCCAGCACUUUGGGAGGCCGAGGCGGGCGGAUCACCUGAGAUCAGGCAUUCGAGACCAACCUGGCCAACAUGGUGAAACCCCAUCUCUACUAAAAAUACAAAAAUUAGCCGGGCAUGGUGGUGCAUGCCUGAAAUCCCAGCUACUCAGGAGGUUGAGGAGGGAGAAUUGCUUGAACCUGGGGGGCGGAGGUUGCAGUCAGCCGAGAUUGCACCACUGCCCUCCAGCCUGGGUGACAGUGAGACUCCAUCUCAAAAAAAAAAAAAAAAAAAAAAAGAAGAAGAAGAAGAAGAAACUGGCAACUCUGGCAACUCUCCUAAGAGGGAGGAAGAGAGGAGAAAGGACAGGGCAGGGCGGUGACAAGUGUCCUGGAACGGAAAAAGAAAAAAGAAGAAAAAAAUUGCACCUGUGUAGGAGGAGAUGCUGGUGGCCCUUGGAGUGCCCAUGUGAGAGAAGAGCCAGUUCCAGGAUUCCAGUGAGAGCAGCCAGCUCAGCGUGGCUCAGCAGCGGGGGACAGCCGUCUAGGAAUCCCUGCGGAGCACCCCAGAGAAGGAGCUUCACCUCGGGACCUGGGUCUCAUUUUCAGGGACUUCAUCUCCCUGAAAAGCAAUGCUGCAUCAGACACAGAGACGCCCCGACAGAACGGAAAACAAUAUGCACUGUUCAACAUGAAACUCCCAUUCAUCUCACUGCUGCAUGACUUUGCCUAAGAGUUCAGGAUAAAGUAAUGUUUGCAAAUACAUCCUGAAAUUGCUUUUGUGGGUUAGCAUCAUUAGAUUGCAUUAUGCUUUGGGAUUAAAAGCGUUAACUUUGCCAUGUAGCUAUUUCAAAUAGAUCACAAGCUCUUUUUUUUUUUUUUUUGAUGAUCACCACUAUACUAACGAGGAUCAAAUAGACCACAAGUUCUGCAACCCUGUUUAGAUGUUUCUUCAUUUCAUAAAGUAUAGGUACCAAGAAUCUCAGUACCUCCUCCUCUCCCCCCAGACUUUCUCUUGUUAUUCUGGGAUCAAAGGGGCCUCAUGUCCCCUCUGAGGGACCUUACCCCUAUCAAGCAGGCUGGCAAGCGGGAGAACGGAGGCCUGAGAAGCUGCAACACAGCUACACUGAACUCCCCAGCCAAGCCAUGUGCUUGCAUCUGCCCGUCUACUCCAGAGUGUGAGCCAAACAUCUGAGACUGUGAGAAUUCGGAGAGCUGACCCCAGACGUUGGUUCCAGUGUUGGGAGGAACCUGGGAAAAUCAAGGGAUGCUUUGGUCCUGUCAUUGUGACUGACAAGCAAUUAGAGGUGAAUAUCUGUGAAUAUUUGGGGGUUUAGAAUGUACCUGUUGAAAUGAAAUGCCCCUGGGAUAUGAAAUAACUUUAGCUGUUGGCAUCUAAGACAACAGAGGCAGCUGGACGUGGUGACUCACGCCUGUAAUCCCAGCACUUUGGGAGGCCGAGGCGGGUGGAUCACCUGAGAUCACGAGUUUGAGACCAGCCUGACCAACAUGGUGAAACCCCAUCUCUACUAAAUACAAAAAAUUAGCCGGGCGUAGUGGCGCAUGCCUGUAAUUCCAGCUACUUGGGAGGCUGAGGCAGGAGAAUUGCUUGAAUCCGGGAGGCGGAGGUUACAGUGAGCCAAGAUUGCACCAUUGCACUCCAGCCUGGGCAACAAGAGUGAAACUCCAUCUCCCCCCCCACCCCGCAAAAAAAGACAACAGAGGCGUUCAAUCAGUCGGCCGCGGUGAGCAAUGUCCCGUGAGAAUGGGGCCCAAGACAGAAGUCUAGGAAAGGGUGUAUGUGGGCGAGGUAGACACAGAUAGGGGCUGUGGACGGAAGGACUCUAGGACCUGCUUGCAGUCUGUCAUGAGUCUUUGGACUAUUUAUAGCUGGUGACCUCAGAUGAGUCACCCCCAUGAUUCAGUUUCCCCAUUUCUCUGAGAUAUGGAGACAGCAGCUGGUCAGGAAGGGACCCUUUCCCUCCUCUCCGCCUCUCCACCGCCACCACUGCCGUCACCGGCACCCAUGUUCUGCCCACACAGUAGCCCAGGAUGCCAAGGGCUAAAGGCUUGACAUAGACGACACCUAAUGUAAUCUCACAGCCCUGGGACACAGCUCUUGUUAUUGCCUCCACUUUGCAGAAGGGAAAAGUGAGCCUUAUAGAGGCUGAAUAACAUGCCUGAUGUCUACACUGGGGAUGGGUGGAUGUGGGCUGGUGUUCGGGCCACCCUGACUCACACUUGGUUGGCCAGGGCUUCCACUGCUAAAUCCAUCUGGGUCAGGGGCUGGCAACAUUUUCUUCAUCAGGUAAAUAUUCUAGGCUUUGUGGGGCAUAUGAUCUCUCUUCCUCUCACCCCAGAUUUUCUCCUGUUACUCAACACUUUAAAAAUGUAAAAACCAUUCUUAGCUAGUGAGCUGCACAUAGGAGUCUGCUGGCUGGAUUUGGCCUGAAGGCCAGAGUUUAGUCACCUCUGAUAACAGGAAAGCAAAAAAUGCAAAUUGCUGUGGGCUGUCAUAUCUCCCCAGAUUUCAGAGGCGUUCUAAAACUCACUCAAAGAAUCCUGGGCCCUGGAGGGUGGCAGGGCUACCUGUGCGGCCCAGGUGGAUGUUAGUUUUACUGAGGACCUACUGGGGUGUGGGCACCACGGUGUCUCUCCCAUGGCCACUAUUCCUACGGGCAGUUACUGCCCCUCACACUUGUCCCUCUGUGUCCUACCCUCUGUGGGGGCUCACUGGGGGCCCAGCUUCUCCACCCUGUCACCAUCCUGGCCUCACUUUCCUUUCUCCUGGGACUUCGGUUCUUGGUCAAGUGAGGCUGGACAGGCCCAGCUGUGGCCCCUGGCUGAGCUGCAGAGGAAGCUGAGAGGACCUGCUAUCAGCUCCUUUUGGCCAGGCUGCCUCAGUGGCCAGCGUGGGGUGGGAGAUGCUGAGGCAGAAAUGGGGGAGAAGAGGUGGGAGCUCUGCAGCCGGAGGGAGGAGUUCCGUGGCCUGGGCAGGAAGCUGGGAAACCUCUGUUUCUUUCUUUCUUUGUUUUGUUUUUUUUUUUGAGACGGAGUCUCGCUCUAUUGCCCAGGCUGGAGUGCAGUGGCACGAUCUCAGCUCACUUCAAGCUCCGCCUCCCGAGUUCAUGCCAUUCUCCUGCCUCAGCCUCCCAAGUAGCUGGGACUACAGGCACCCGCCACCACGCCUGGCCAAUUUUUUGUAUUUUUUAGUAGAGACAGGGUUUCACUGUGUUAGCUGGGAUGGUCUUGAUUUCCUGACCUCGUGAUCCACCUGCCUCGGCCUCCCAAAGUGCUGGGAUUACAGGCGUGAGCCACCACGCUCGGCCACCUCUCUGUUUCUAAGGCUCCUCAGAGUUAAGGAGGUUUGUGAAAGGAGUAAACACAGGAAUUCUGCUUGUGUGUGGGGCCUGCCUGUGCGUGUGUAUCACAUACAACCCAUGCCUGUGUUCCUGUGGAGAGGGAGCAUGGAAGGGGCCCGUGUUCUAGGCAAUGCACAAAAUAGUUAAACCAGGUCUGAAACUGGGAUCAAGUCCCAACACCACCACUGACCAACCAUGGGAACCAGGUCCAGGUCUUUAACCUCUUGGACACUCACUUUCCUCAUCUGUAAAAUGGAAAUAGCAAUAUCUCAGCAGAUUGCUGUAAAGCUUACAAAGUAACACGAUUUAUCGAAUGCUUCCUACUGGGCAGGCACUAUUCUAGGGGCUUUCUAUAUUCAGUUGAUCCUCAUCACUCAUACAUUCUGUAUUUAAAGAUUUGUCUACUCUGGCCGGGUGUGGUGGCUCAUGCCUGUAAUCCCAGAACUUUGGGAGGCCGAGGUGGGUGGAUCACGAGGUCAGGAGAUCAAGACUACCCUGGCUAACAUGGUGAAACCCCGUCUCUACUAAAAAUACAAAAAAAAUUAGCCGGGCGUGUUGGCGGGCGCCUGUAGUCCCAGCUACUCGGGAGGCUGAGGCAGGAGAAUGGUGUGAACAUGGGAGGUGGAGCUUGCAGUGAGCCGAGAUAGCACCGCUGCACUCCAGCCUGGGCAACUGAGCAAGACUCCAUCUCAAAAAAAUAAAAAUAAAAAAAUAAAAAUUUGUCUACUCCAUACAAUUUACUUGUAUUGCCAAAAUCAAUACUCACAGUGCUUGCAUGGCCAUCCAUGAACACAGAGCAGAGAAAAAUUUGGCAGGAUGUGCACAUUCCCAGCAGAGGGUGAACAAGGUGACAGUCUGCCUUCUUGUUUCAGCUCAUACCACAAGCAAGUGUCCUUUUCAAGGUCUACUUGGUACCAUGUGUUUUGCAUUUUUCUGCUGCGUGUUGGUGAUUCCACUGUUUAAAAUGGUCCCAGCAUCAUGCUGAAGUGCUGUCCAGAGUUCCUAAGUGAGAGAAAGCUGUGAUGUGUCAUGUGGAGAAAAUAUGUCUAGUAGUUAAGCUUCGUGCAGGCAUGAGUUAUAGUGCUGUUGGCUAUGAGUUCAAUGUGAAUUAUUCAGCAAUAUAUAUUGAAUAAGGUGUCGUUAGACAGAAACACACAUAAGAAAAAGUUAUGCAUUGAUUUGUUGAUGAAAAUGUGACCAGAGGCUCACAGGAACCUCCCCUUGUAUCUCCCCUAGGAGCACUGGUUUGGCAUUCACUAAUUCAGUGUUUGCAGUGACUCCAUAAAACACAGCCACUAUGAAUAAUGAGAAUUGACUGUAUUGGCCAGGCACAGUAGCUCACACCUGUAAUCCCAGCACUUUGGGAGGCCAAGGUAAGCAGAUCACUUGAGGUCAGGAGUUUCAGACCAGCCUGGCCAACAUGGUGAAACCCUGUCUCUACUAAAAAUACAAAAAAUU
rnacentral:lncRNA from 1 species